ACCCACUGUAUUCUCAACUGGGGGAAUGCUGAACUUCUUAUCGUCUGUGGAUGGAGUGGAGAAGGAGAGAAAGGAAAGAGAAAGGAAUGAGAACAGAUGGGCAAAAGGUUCUGACUGCAUCUCUUGAGACCUUGGAACAAGGAGCUAAUAAUCCUGGCAAGGUGUUGAAUUCAUGGAUGCAGAAAUCAUGGAUGUGGAGUUUCAUUGAAUCAGAUAUCAAUAGAAGAGACCUACAAGAAUUGCCUGUUGCUGCCAUAACACUUACAUGUUAUUGGUAUCAGCUUAUAUACGCAUCAAAGAAGGGCAAGGCAGUAAUGGUUAAUUCUUCCAGUAUUUCUGAAAAAAAAAAAAAAAAAAAAAACUUCUGUUAACUUACACUUUAAUAAUUCAGCAAAUUUUACAAAGUGCCAUAAUUAAGAGCAAGUUAUGCCAGAAGGUAGGCAAAUACAACAGGUAGCCAGAUGUCAUGUUUCUUAUUGUCAAAGAAAAAUACACUGCCAGAGGAACAAAGGAGGAAAGAAUGUGGCAAAGGCAUUCUUUACCUCUCAAUGAGAUACAGUGUUGGAAAUAGAAGGAAACUGUGUUAUAUUUGAAAAGAAGUUACAUAAACUGAAUUCUCCUAGACUCUAGUAACCUGUCUCAUCCAGAUCUGUUACCUCUGCUUUCUUCCUCCAGCAAUUGAUGAGAUAAAAAUAAGAAAGGGGUGGGUGCUGUGGCACAGCAUGUUACUAGUUUAAGUCCAAGCUCCUUUGUACUUCUCAUCCAAUUUCCUGUUAAUCUGGCUUUGAAGCAGCAGAUGAUGGCUCAAGUAUAUGGGUUCCUGCCACCCAUGUGAGUGACCCAGAUGGAACUUCUUGGCUCCUGGCGGUGGCCAGACCCAUUUCUGCCUGUUCCAGGCAUUUGGUGUGUGAACCAGAGAUGAAAGAAUCUUCCUAUUUCUUUGUCUGUCAAAUAAAUAAAUAAAACUUUAAAAAUAAAAAAUAAAU
rnacentral:lncRNA from 1 species